UCCUAGAUAGUACAGUGGUUAGUAUAUCCGCUUCUCAGUUAGUUACAACGUGCGCGGGUGGCCAGGGUUCGAUUCCCUGUCUGGGAA